rnacentral:rRNA from 1 species
GUAGCGCCUCGUGAAUUCAUCUCCGGGGGUAGAGCACUGUUUCGGCUAGGGGGCCAUCCCGGCUUACCAACCCGAUGCAAACUGCGAAUACCGGAGAAUGUUAUCACGGGAGACACACGGCGGGUGCUAACGUCCGUCGUGAAGAGGGAAACAACCCAGACCGCCAGCUAAGGUCCCAAAGUCAUGGUUAAGUGGGAAACGAUGUGGGAAGGCCCAGACAGCCAGGAUGUUGGCUUAGAAGCAGCCAUCAUUUAAAGAAAGCGUAAUAGCUCACUGGUCGAGUCGGCCUGCGCGGAAGAUGUAACGGGGCUAAACCAUGCACCGAAGCUGCGGCAGCGACGCUGAUGCGUUGUUGGGUAGGGGAGCGUUCUGUAAGCCUGCGAAGGUGGCCUGUGAGGGUUGCUGGAGGUAUCAGAAGUGCGAAUGCUGACAUAAGUAACGAUAAAGCGGGUGAAAAGCCCGCUCGCCGGAAGACCAAGGGUUCCUGUCCAACGUUAAUCGGGGCAGGGUGAGUCGACCCCUAAGGCGAGGCCGAAAGGCGUAGUCGAUGGGAAACGGGUUAAUAUUCCCGUACUUGGUGUUACUGCGAAGGGGGGACGGAGAAGGCUAUGUUGGCCGGGCGACGGUUGUCCCGGUUUAAGCGUGUAGGUGUGUGUUCCAGGUAAAUCCGGUUCACUUUAACACUGAGGCGUGACGACGAGGCACUACGGUGCUGAAGCAACAAAUGCCCUGCUUCCAGGAAAAGCCUCUAAGCAUCAGGUAACAUCAAAUCGUACCCCAAACCGACACAGGUGGUCAGGUAGAGAAUACCAAGGCGCUUGAGAGAACUCGGGUGAAGGAACUAGGCAAAAUGGUGCCGUAACUUCGGGAGAAGGCACGCUGACACGUAGGUGAAGUGAUUUACUCAUGGAGCUGAAGUCAGUCGAAGAUACCAGCUGGCUGCAACUGUUUAUUAAAAACACAGCACUGUGCAAACACGAAAGUGGACGUAUACGGUGUGACGCCUGCCCGGUGCCGGAAGGUUAAUUGAUGGGGUCAGCGCAAGCGAAGCUCCUGAUCGAAGCCCCGGUAAACGGCGGCCGUAACUAUAACGGUCCUAAGGUAGCGAAAUUCCUUGUCGGGUAAGUUCCGACCUGCACGAAUGGCGUAAUGAUGGCCAGGCUGUCUCCACCCGAGACUCAGUGAAAUUGAACUCGCUGUGAAGAUGCAGUGUACCCGCGGCAAGACGGAAAGACCCCGUGAACCUUUACUAUAGCUUGACACUGAACAUUGAGCCUUGAUGUGUAGGAUAGGUGGGAGGCUUUGAAGUGUGGACGCCAGUCUGCAUGGAGCCGACCUUGAAAUACCACCCUUUAAUGUUUGAUGUUCUAACGUGGACCCGUGAUCCGGGUUGCGGACAGUGUCUGGUGGGUAGUUUGACUGGGGCGGUCUCCUCCUAAAGAGUAACGGAGGAGCACGAAGGUUGGCUAAUCCUGGUCGGACAUCAGGAGGUUAGUGCAAUGGCAUAAGCCAGCUUGACUGCGAGCGUGACGGCGCGAGCAGGUGCGAAAGCAGGUCAUAGUGAUCCGGUGGUUCUGAAUGGAAGGGCCAUCGCUCAACGGAUAAAAGGUACUCCGGGGAUAACAGGCUGAUACCGCCCAAGAGUUCAUAUCGACGGCGGUGUUUGGCACCUCGAUGUCGGCUCAUCACAUCCUGGGGCUGAAGUAGGUCCCAAGGGUAUGGCUGUUCGCCAUUUAAAGUGGUACGCGAGCUGGGUUUAGAACGUCGUGAGACAGUUCGGUCCCUAUCUGCCGUGGGCGCUGGAGAACUGAGGGGGGCUGCUCCUAGUACGAGAGGACCGGAGUGGACGCAUCACUGGUGUUCGGGUUGUCAUGCCAAUGGCACUGCCCGGUAGCUAAAUGCGGAAGAGAUAAGUGCUGAAAGCAUCUAAGCACGAAACUUGCCCCGA